ACAAAACAUUUUACUUAUAAAUCGUUUAAAAACAUUGUACUUACAAAAUGCAAAAUAAGAAAAAUAUGACUAACAUCGACAUGUUUGUUUAUGCUUUGAUCAUCUUUCUUUUUACUUUUCUUAAUGAACUCUCUGCUUAUAAGACAAGUAUGUCAUUUGAUACACCAUUUUCAAAUUUAUCUUAUACGCAAUAUUAUAAAAUCUCUUAGUAAUGUUCCUUUUUUCUUAUUUGACAAUACAGCUACUAUCCCCUGUGGAGUUAACCGUGAUUGUCCAUCAGCAGAAAAAGGUCAAUUUUGGUGGCAGUGUCGAGAAAAAUUUUGUGAGUUAAUUAAAUUUAUACUUUUUAGGAUAUAAUUUUAUGUGAUUGUCGUAAUGU
rnacentral:lncRNA from 1 species